CCCGGCUAAACUACGUGCCAGCAGCCGCGGUAAUACGUAGGGGGCAAGUCGUUGUCCGGGAAGUUAUUGGGCGUAAAGCGCGCGCAGGCGGUUCCUUAAAGUCUGAUGUGAAAAGGCCACCAGCUCAACUGUGGAGGGCCAUUGGAAACUGGGGAACUUGAGGACAGAAGAGGAGAGCGGAAUUCCACGUGUAGCCGGUGAAAUGCGUAGAUAUGUGGAGGAACACCAGUGGCGAAGGCGGCUCUCUGGUCUGUAACUGACGCUGAGGCGCGAAAGCAUGGGUAGCGAACAGGAUUAGAUACCCUGGUAGUCCAUGCCGUAAACGUUGAGUGCUAGGUGUUAGGGGGUCCAACCCUUAGUGCUGCAGUUAACGCAAUAAGCACUCCGCCUGGGGAGUACGGCCGCAAGGCUGAAACUCAAAGGAAUUGACGGGGGCCUGCACAAGCGGUGGAGCAUGUGGUUUAAUUCGACGCAACGCGAAGAACCUUACCAGGUCUUGACAUCUUCGGACAGCCCAAGAGAUUGGGUCUUCCCUUCGGGGACCGAAUGACAGGUGGUGCAUGGUUGUCGUCAGCUCGUGUCGUGAGAUGUUGGGUUAAGUCCCGUAACGAGCGCAACCCCUGAUCUUAGUUGCCAGCAUUGAGUUGGGCACUCUAGGAUGACUGCCGGUGACAAACCGGAGGAAGGCGGGGAUGACGUCAAAUCAUCAUGCCCCUUAUGACCUGGGCUACACACGUGCUACAAUGGAUGGUACAAAGGGAAGCCAAACCGCGAGGUCGAGCUAAUCCCAUAAAGCCAUUCUCAGUUCGGAUUGUAGGCUGCAACUCGCCUGCAUGAAGCCGGAAUCGCUAGUAAUCGCGGAUCAGAAUGCCGCGGUGAAUACGUUCCCAGGCCUUGUACACACCGCCCGUCACACCACGAGAGUUGGCAACACCCGAAGUCGGUGAGGGUAACCAUCACGGAGCACAGCCGCCGAAGCUGGGGCAAUUUACCCUUACUC
rnacentral:rRNA from 1 species